GCACUAGUAGAAUGCCGCGGGUGGUCACAUGUCAGCUCCACGGCUACUAGGAUAGUGGACACAGCGCGCCUGGCUACUGCACUAGCACAAUGCCGCGGGUGGUGACACCUCAGCUCCACGGCUACUAGGAUUGUGGACACAGCGCGCCUGGCUACUGCACUAGUAGAAUGCUGCGGGUGGUGACACGUCAGCGCCGCGGUACUAGGAUAGUGGGCACACUGCGCCUGGCUACUGCACUAGUAGAAUGCCGCGGGUGGUGACACGUCAGCGCCGCGGUACUAGGAUAGUGGACACAGCGCGCCUGGCUACUACACUAGUAGAAUGCCGCGGGUGGUGACACGUCAGCGCCGCGGCUACUACCUUACUGGACACAGUGCGCCUGGCUACUGUACUAGUAGAAUGCCGCGGGUGGUGACACGUCAGCUCCACAGCUACUAGGAUAGUGGACACAGCGCGCCUGGCUACUACACUAGUAGA
rnacentral:lncRNA from 1 species